UUUAACAUCUUGUUUGGAGGUUACCAGAAGCUCUGAGUGACAAGUCAGAAUAUAUUGCAUCAUAUUUUCUGAUGUUAUCCAGAAACCUGUAAGAGUCCCUUUCCUGUUUUAAUGCCUUCCUUUUAUUACCUGACUAUCAGGGAAGCGUGGUUGAGGCUGCCCUGACCUGACAUGUCAUGAUGUCGACUUGCUAGGUGGGGUUCGCAGGGGACAUUAACCAUUGGAGUUGUCGAUUCCCAGAACAGUGUACGAAGUGUAUGGAAAGCAGCUGAAACCAGGAUAAGAUCUAAAGAACAAUGCAAGAAGAGCUAGGGAACACAUUUUUAGCUGUCUAGAGGUAGCAUGGUCUGGAGCAAUGAACGCUGGUUGGAAUUAAGGACUUGAUCUGCCACUGACUUGCUCUGUGGCCUUUGACAAGUCACUUCACUUCUUUGCCUCAGUUUCACCAUCUGUAGAAUGGGAAUAGUGCAUAUUCACCUAUCUCACGUGGAACAUGGAAAGCACUGUAUAGGUACCAAUUUUUUUCUCCAGGCAGCUUGCGUACAUGUUCAAAUUAAGUAUCACUGCCUGCUUUGUGGUGAGAGAAUGCAGCUUUCUAUCACGGAUAGGUGGUUAAGGACAGGUAAUUAAGUGCAUUGAAGUUUUUAAGGUAGUGUUUGCUGUGAAGCCUAAUGAAAAGUGACUGUGGCAAGUAUGGCAAGAUUCUUUAUACAAGUUUUGCACAGACUUCUCAUUUAUAGGGGACUUCAGUUUAAAUUCCUGAAUUGCUACCCUCAUACCAAUGAAAGUGAUUGGUCUUGUUGAUACCCUGACUAGAUAAAUAUUUGUUUAGAAGCUGAAAUGUUUAAUGAGAAAUAAUGAACCAUAAGAGUUUGAGAGCAGGAAAAUGAGAUCAUUGGCACAAUCCCAAAUUUCCUUUUAUUAGAUCUUGUAUUUUUAUUUACUGUUCUAAAUCAGUCAUAAGAAUUCAGACUAGAAAGGAAGAGAUUCAGGAGAACAUUGUGGAUACAUUAAUGGUGCAGGUUAAACAGAGUUGCUACAAGAAUUCUCAAAUUAAGCAUUAACUGCUACAACAAUGCAUUCAAUCUAUAUUUUGGAAGAAAAAGGCCGCCUUUUGUCUUGGAAUACAUUGGCACUAUUAAAAAGGGACAAAUGACAGCUAGAAAAAUGAUGCAACAAUAGCAUUGUUUAGACUGCUGUCCUCUUCAAGGAGUUCCUGUACCUGCUGAUCAGACAGCAUGGGAUCCAAGAAAUGAACUACAUGUGUAUCAAAAUAUCAGGUGGGUGUUGUAAGUGUAUUUACAGUGUUCUCUGUUGUAGUUUGCAGUGUAUUGAAAACUAUGCAUAUGUAUUGUAUGUUUUUAUUGGUCCUUUUUUGUAAUGGCCAGUUUCCUCUAAUAAACAUCUAUCUAAAGUCAGUAUUUUGUGGCUGUUUUCCAAAGGUCUGGGUGUUUUUCAAGUCACCUGAUCUCCAUGCAGCACCCUUUCCCUGCUAAACCAAGAGGAGAAGAGGAAUCCUCUGUCAUAACCAUUCAUAACCAAUCUGUAUACGAGCUCUCAGCUUUCAACUAAAAUAUUUUCCACCCUAGUUUUCAAAAUACAUGUAGCUCAUUUAGAUGUUCUGAAGAUGUUGUAUUGGCUCAACUCAACUGUGGAAAAUAUCAAUAAAAUUAAACUUUAUCCAGUG